AUUCUGCUGGCCGACCCAUGGCUCUGUCUUCCCCAGGGCAAAAGUCUGCCUUCAGCAUUUGGCUCUGCGGCACAUCAGGAGAAGACAGUUUGCUGUCACCAGGCCGGGAGGAAGUCUUUCUCCUGCUGGACUGUGCAGAGCUGCCGGAAAUGCAGGGCUGAGAACUCUCCUUCAUGCGCUCUCGACCCCAGGUUGAACGAGGGUUCGCUUAUUCAUUUCUGCAGCAGCAUCAGUGAGAGAAGAAGGGAGAGAAUACCAUCGACUUGCUGUUCCACUUACUGAUGCACUCAUUGGUUGACUCUUCUGGUACGUGCCCUGACUGGGGAUUGAACCCACAACUCUGGUGUAUCAGGACAAUGCGCUCAUCAACUGAGCUGCUCGACCAGGGGGGCUUUCCAUCUUUACAACUUUUGUAUAAAUCUAAAAUGAU